AGGAAAGUAAAGACAAAGGAUCAACAGUUUUAAUUUAUGUUAAUUUAUAAUUGAAAUUUAAUUAGUUUUUUCCUUCAAUUUUUAUUACAAAUUUACUCGAUUCAGCUAUUUGUGCAAUUAUUUGUGUCUCGGUGUGUUUAAACCAUUCAAAUCAUCAACAUAAUUGUGAUAUCUCAUCAAUAAGCUUUCCUUAACACAUUUUGUCCUUCCUAUGUCUACUCUACAUUUUUCAUAAAAUGGUGCAACUAUUUUCUGGCAAAAUAAUGUCAACUUUUUUUCCUCGCAUCUUUACUAAAGUAAAUCUAGGGAAGACCUAAUUUUGGAGCAAAGCUUGGAUUACUUUGGUAACCGUUUGCAUGUGUAAUACAAACACAAAGUGAGAAACCAAAGAUGAUGCUUACUCAAUGCAGAUUGGUUUAUACUCUAGGUUGCCAAGUUAGGGGCAGAGUUAAAUAGGAUUGUUAACAUUUUACACUAAAGAAUCUCAUCACCAUUCAGGAUUUUUCUUCUUUACCAUCUUCAACAUCAUCUUUCCAUCUUUAUUUUUUUUCAUCUAAAUCUUCAAUAUUUAUCUCCUCUCUUUGCCUUCCCUUUCUUGUUUCACAAUGAAUAACAAAAUUCAUCUGCUUCAGCAAGAUAAUCCUGUUGUAAUUUUGAUUGUCGUCAAUCCAUUAAUCAACUUGUUGGAAAUCUUAAUUUUGAGGAUAAAGCUCUCUUUACCGUCAUCAAACCUUUUCUUCCCUCAACAAUCAACUUAAUCAACAUCGCAAUCUUGACUGCACUUUCAUUCUAAUAGUUGCCGGCUUCUUGAUCAGAGGCUUGAUUGAAGCUGAUGGUGACAAUGAUUAUAAUGAGUUAACAAAUAGGCACCAUUUUGUUACAACAAAUAACAUUGUUUCUUUUCAAUACACCCAACCCGAUAAACCACCUAGUUACAUUGUAAAACGGACCUGAGUGUUGUUUAUUACAAUAUUAUUAAUAAUCUCGUUAACGUUUGAAUGUCGUCGAAUAGAAGGAAAAGUGUUAAUACUAUUCAUUUGUGAUUUGAACUGAUUUUCUUAUACAAACCAAGAAUCAAUUAUAUCAUGAUGGAUUUUUUAGACACAGCUACAGAUUCAAGCCACAAAAAUGACCAGACACACCUUGCUAUACACCAACUCUGAAAGGAUUCAAGAUUGUUCAAUCAAUCAAUGGUUAAGUCUUUCAUGUCAAGGCCAAUUCUGGUGUUAAAGUUAACUUAUUGACAUAAUUGUGCUAUUACAAUUACAAUUAAGGAGAUUAAAUGACCAAAAAACCAACUAAUCCAAAUUCAAUGAAAAGUUUGCAGUUGAUUAGACAGAUUAUUACUACUGCCGGUGGUUGCUGAUUUAUUUCAAUAAUCAGAUCAACUUUCACAAGUGAAUUGCAAUAAAAAAGAUAACUUAUUAAACAUGCAAUAAGGUUAGCCUGACCACAAGUAAUACUGACACUUAAUGAAAUUUCACUGAUUAAAAGUAAAUCUAAGUUGCAUCCAAGUAAUCCAAUUUGGCUGGUUGACUGCAAGUAGUGGACAACAGAUGGUUACGGUGUUUGAAAAAUGGCAAUGUUAUUUGUUACCAAAUGGCAAAUCUGAUUGGCAAAUUGUCAAUCAUAAGCUUGCACAAAUUUUUGUUUACAACUGAUCAAGUGGUUUACAUUAUACUACAAAAUUUAACUUG